AGUGGGGAAUAUUGCACAAUGGGCGCAAGCCUGAUGCAGCCAUGCCGCGUGUAUGAAGAAGGCCUUCGGGUUGUAAAGUACUUUCAGCGAGGAGGAAAGGGUGUGAGUUAAUACCUUACAUCUGUGACGUUACUCGCAGAAGAAGCACCGGCUAACUCCGUGCCAGCAGCCGCGGUAAUACGGAGGGUGCGAGCGUUAAUCGGAAUUACUGGGCGUAAAGCGCAUGCAGGCGGUUUGUUAAGCGAGAUGUGAAAGCCCCGGGCUCAACCUGGGAACUGCAUUUCGAACUGGCAAACUAGAGUCUUGUAGAGGGAGGUAGAAUUUCAGGUGUAGCGGUGAAAUGCGUAGAGAUCUGAAGGAAUACCAGUGGCGAAGGCGGCCUCCUGGACAAAGACUGACGCUCAGAUGCGAAAGCGUGGGGAGCAAA
rnacentral:rRNA from 1 species